GAAAGACGUGUCUAGGGUACCACAGAUAUCAGUGUGUUGUGUUUACUACUGUGCCCAUGCUUCCAUCUUGAUGACAAGGAGGACGACUCCUUCAUCAUUCCCACUACAGAAUACACAAUGGUUCACAUCUUGAAACUGUUUCAGUGUUAUUAACCUGGAUUCCAUUUGGAUGAAAUGAAGCCAGAAGAGAUGUCAAUGAGAAAAAAAGAACCUAAAAGAAACCUACUUAAUGUUUUAUGACAGAAAUCUAGAAUCAAAUUGAAUUAAGCAAAUCUUGAAGAGAAGACUUCACAUAUUUCCCGACUAAUCUCUGAUGAGACAGCUUUCUUCCAUUCUUAAAGGAGGAAGAAAGGGAGAAUCAGCAAGUAAAACAAAACAAGAAAAUGAUGUUCAUUCCACAUAACAUAUUUAAUUUGAUCGACAAUCUUUAGCCUGUCAUUGACCAAGAACACCCAAGUAAUGUUUGUUGGAAAAUCUACUCUAAGCUGCUGAGCAGUUAAUUUGCCAGUUUUAGUUUUAU
ensembl:lncRNA